ACAGGAAUGAUGUGGUGUCUUCCUCAGU
rnacentral:piRNA from 1 species